GAGCAGUGUAUCCAGCAGCAGCGCGAAGAGCGGCCAAGGUGUGCGCGCAUCGGCCGGACGGCAACACUCGGAGCACGUCCGCACCGCAAGUUGCCCGCGACGCGUCUGUAGUGGACACCUGUGCAUCCCAAUGACCAGUACACGUCUCCGCGGAGUGGUCUGAAGUCAGGUCCACGCUUUCUUGCCACAAGCUAAAUGGACGCCGCUCCUCGGAGGAGGAGGAGGAUCCCGGACCGAGUGAUGCGCAUGCGCAGCAGCCGAAGGAGGAGCAGUGGCGACGUGCAGUGAGCCAGUGUUGUUGGUGUGAUAAAAA
rnacentral:lncRNA from 1 species